rnacentral:rRNA from 1 species
UACGAAGGGGGCUAGCGUUGCUCGGAAUCACUGGGGCGUAAAGGGUGCGUAGGCGGGUCUUUAAGUCAGGGGUGAAAUCCUGGAGCUCAACUCCAGAACUGCCCUUUGAUACUGAAGAUCUUGAGUUCGGGGAGAGGUGAGUGGGAACUGCGAGUGUAGAGGUGAAAUUCGUAGAUAUUCGCAAGAACACCAGUGGCGAAG